GUGAGAAACUCAUUCCCCAGAGCAACAGUGUAGGGAGGUGGGACCCGAUGGGAGCCCCACCCUCACAGAUGGAUUCCUGUAGCUGUCAAGACAGCUUGGGCAUGGAUUCCUCUCUGCCUUCUGCCAUGUGGACACGUGGCCUUCCUCCCCCCUCCCCUCUCCCCUCUCUCCUCCGGGGAAUGCGGUGUUGGGGCGCCAUCUUGGAAGCAGAGAUCCGGCCUCACCAGACACCAAGCCUGCUGGUACCGUGACCCUGGACUCCCAGCCUCCACAGCUGGGAAAGACCUCUGCUCCCUGGAAAUUACCCAGGCUCAGGCACCCACUGACCCCAGCCUCGUGGACCACCAUUCACCAGGCUUGAGGGGAGGACCUCACGUCGCCCUGCUCCCUUCAGUGCCAGCCAGGAUGGGGCUAGGUGGGUGUGGCUGGUGAAAAGAAAUGCAGCCCCCCAGCCGCCCUCCGAGGCCCCCAGCCCCUACAGACCAAGCCGAACAGCCCAGCUCAUGGGCGGAUCACAGGGCACCCAGCAGCCGCCUUCCCUCCAGAAGAGCCAAGAAGGCUCCCAAGACCAGAAAUGCCCCCAGUGUGGCUGUGCCUGUCCCCGGUCCCCGCCGGCUGGGGGGCAGCAUGCCCAAACAGAUGCACCCUGCCCAUGAUGGCACCACACGGACCCCCAUCCUCAGGACCCUCCAGUCGUUCAAGCUGGAAUUGGCGGAUUUCUGCUUGUAUAGACAUCGACUUCAGAAUCUCAGGUGCUGCUUGGCAGGAAAAUGCACGGCAGGAGGGGCUGGGCCUCGGCUCGAGGCUCCCGGGCGCACCCCCCACUCUCCACUGCGGGGCUCAGGGUGGUCAAAAACAGCCACAACAACGACAAAAGCCAAAUUGGGAACGGAAUCAUGGAAAAAACCCUCACAGGCUUUUGGGAACUUACAAAGAAAUGCCCACAUCCAUUGGAUUAACAUGGCAUCUACUAACGUGGCAUCUGCUAGGACGCCGCAAAACAGACAACUCCUUCCAUGUAAGGCUGGACACGUGUCAGGGCUGUGGCUCUCAAAGCUGGGCCACAGGCAGCAUCCACGGCCAGGCCACUGGGUGGAGGAGACGGUGCUGGGGAGGAGCCGGAAGGAGGGGCCGGGGCUGUCCCCUGAGGCAGAAUGGCUCACCUGUGGUGUGUGCAGAGCAGGGCUGCAGGGACACAAGGUGCCCCCUUCAUUCAUCAGUUACUUGUAUUCUUUGUACGAAACGCUUCCCGAUAAAAUGUGAAAAAGGGGGCAUUUCCUAAAGU
rnacentral:antisense_RNA from 1 species